rnacentral:rRNA from 1 species
UACGGAGGAUCCAAGCGUUAUCCGGAAUCAUUGGGUUUAAAGGGUCCGUAGGCGGUUUUGUAAGUCAGUGGUGAAAGCCCAUCGCUCAACGGUGGAACGGCCAUUGAUACUGCAAGACUUGAAUUAUUAGGAAGUAACUAGAAUAUGUAGUGUAGCGGUGAAAUGCUUAGAGAUUACAUGGAAUACCAAUUGCGAAGGCAGGUUACUACAAUGGAUUGACGCUGAUGGACGAAAGCGUGGGGAGCGAACAGG